AGAGAGGAAGAGGGCACAGAACUUCUGCUGGGGUGUUAGAUGCGGGCAACCAGCCCAGGCUGAGUUUCUGGGCUGUGAUUGGAAUUCUGCUGGGGUCUCUCUAGGGGAGGUUUGUGCCUGCUCUCAGCGCAGCAUUGUUCCUGUGACGAGAAGGGCUUUUUAUGUGGCUUCCCUGGGAAAUCAGACAUGACCAGACUCCCCGCUGCGUGUCUGCGUUCGCUGCAGGCUGGUGGGAGAUGCCUUUGUGGUUCCUAGCACUUGAGAACAAGUUGCUUAAAAACCAAACCAAACAAAACAGAAUAGAGCAGAGCAGAGCAGAGCAGAGCAAAGCAAAACAAAGCUCAUUGUUUUCUUUUAUUCCUUCAUUUAAAAAGCAGAGGUUUUGCAGAGACUUUGGACACAUGGAGACAAGAAUAAGAAGUCAGGGAAGCCAUAGGUAAGCCCACCAGCCUGAGCUACCUGCAGGGAAGCAUCCUCUACUCCGACAGGCCACCCGGUUGAGAAGGUCACGGGGCCACAGAAGGGCUCCCCAUAAACAUCUGAGAGGGAUGAGCACCAUCUUAGUGCGCCACACCUCGCCCUGGCCUCCUGGCCCCCUGGCUUCCUGUCUGCGCUGUACAGCAUUGGAAGAAUUUCCCAGAAUUUCAAGGAAUGAAAAUGUGAACAUUGGAAAUGGCCUGGCUUUUUAUCUCUGCCUGGGGAGAGAUAAACUGCGUUGAACUAUUGAACUGGGCAAAAGCAUAUGACUGAACACAGGACUGCUGCACCCACAUUCUUGAUAAAAAUUGGACACUCUGCAAAAAAUAUUUUCCUAGUAACUGUCACAAUGUACUCAGAUAAUUUUGUACAUUGUAAAAUGUAAUUAUAUCUUCCACUCAGAAUUUUUGGAAGACAACCGGUGCAAGUUUCUGGAGACUUCUGCAGUUUGUUAAUAAAGACCCUGGGUGUUUACUGCUCCUCGACAGGAUGAAGUUUGGGUUGCUGCCUGAAUCUAUGCUUCCCAAGUGGCGAUUCUAAGACCCCAGAUAAACUCUUUUGUCUUAUUUGGGUAACUUCCUGUUUUCUUAGCCAAGAAAGGGAAGGAAGAAAAUCGACAUUCUGCCUAUUAUCCCUCAACGCCUAUUGCAUGGGUCACCGAGUCACCUGCACCAUGUCAUGGGCUUCCUUUGCCAGGUUUGUGCCAUGUCCUCCUGUAAUAAAUAAGAAAGCUGAGGUGCAUUCAAAUCACUUACACACACCGGAGCAGAGACAGAAGAAACCCUCACCCUUCUGACAGUUCUAAGUACUGGGGUGCUGCAUCGACGGCAAGAGCAAGGACAGCAAGAGGAAGCCUCUCACAUCCAGGUCCCCCUCCCCCGCCCCCAGCCUCCCUUCUUGACAGUCAUUUUCCUACCAACUUGGCCAUCCCACCUCAGGGGGCAUGUAGCCUGGAUGCUGUGAUAAAACACCCUCUUUGCACCAAGGAAAUUGAGAGCAGGGGGUCAGGGGCUGGUUGCUAUUGGGUUUGAUUCCUAAUCACUUUUUAAAUCCCUUGUGCCUUGUGAAAUAAACGUGAUGGACUUUGGGGGCUGGUUUCUGAAGCCUUGUGAAGAGGAGAGGCCCAGGCAGCCUGUGGACAGCUAAUUUGAUCAGAGGUUGUGAUUUCCUCCUCUUGCCUCUGUGUCCAGGGCAGAUAAAAUGGAAGGAGGGCAGAGAUGCUUAAUUAACCCUGUAAUUCUUGCAUGGGCUAAUUAGCAUAUAGAUGAGGGUGGCUUUCCAAGCCUGUCUCAGAGCUGUCUCCUGUCUGUGUGCAGAGCGCUGGGCUAGCCCCCACAUUAACCAGUCACAGUCCUUCCCAAGUUCUGCCUAAAGGAGGCCCAUGACCGUGGGGUGGUACAGGGAGAUUGGGGGCCUCUUAUGGACUUAGGAAUUUUUAACACAAUCUCUCAGCCAGUGCUUUGAGGACACUAUGACCGGGGCUACUUGGGCUUCUCAUUAGUUUGGCCUGGUUCUGGCAUUCUGGACCCUCUGUGGUCGACUUCUACCCACCCUGGGGUCUCUGCCCUCUGACCUUGUCUUCCCAAGCUGAGAGUGUGGAGCCCAGCUGUGGCAGUUGCCCAGGAGGAGGGGUUGGACUCAACCAUUUGCCCUGUCUUUCCCAGAGCUGCAUUGGUUAUCUGUCCCCUCCCUUAUCCAGUUGGUAGAUUCAAGGCUUGGAGAGCCUUAGAAGCCCUCCUGGAAUUUCCUCCCCACUAACUAGGCGUAGGCAUGCCAAGCACAGCUAUUCCCUUGGUUGGGGUGGGGUGGGGGUGGAGGGUUCCAGUCAGGGGUCUGACAAAUGUGCUGUGUGGCUUAGUGUGCUGGGGGAGUGAGUGGGCCCAGGCAGGGUGGAAGUAGGACCAUGGGCAAGCCCCUCUGGCCCUCCAACCCUUCCUGUGUCCCCUCCUUGAGGGUCUGCCCCUGAAGCUCUCCAGUGUACCCUCACUCCCCACCUUGCAGCUCCAGAAGUCUACCUGCUGUAGCACGUGGGGCUGGAGGUUUGAAGAAAGAAAACAUUUGCUUAACAAAGUCCAGGUUUGAAUUUGAUCUGGGCCAAGCCUGUGUCCUGAUGCACACAGGUUCCACCGGGGUUCCUGAUGACCCAGUCAUAUGGAGGGAGAAGGCACACAGGACAAAACGGCCAGGGCAGGGAUGCAGGCCCAGCCUUGUCCCAACCGUCCCCAUCCGUGAAAUGGGGAUGAUGAUACACACUUCACAGAUUCAAUUUCUGGUCUCACAAGAAGCACCUUGGAGGGUGGAGCCCUAUCCGCAUUUUACAGAUAAGACUGUUGGGGCUCAGAGUGGCCAUGUUUAGCUCAAGAGGCCAGAAUUGGGAAUAGAGCCUAGGGUAGCAUGCAGACCAGUGGGACUCUGAGCUUCUGUUCCCCCCCAGCGGGAGAGGGCAGAGGGCCUCCGUGUAGGGCAUGUCAGGGUGUGCAGUGUGUGCACAUGUGUGUGCACGUGUGUGUGCAUGUGUGUGUGUGUGCCUGUGUUAGCAUGCAUGGGGUCUGCUCAGCAGUUCUGUGGGGCUGCUGUGGUGGAACCAACACACAGGCCUGAGGAAAGGUCUGUUCAUUCUAUCACUUAUCUUAGUGACAGUGGUGUGGGCAGAACUUGCGAGUAGCCAGAAAUAUUUUAAGAGAAAACAUUUUUAAAGUUUAUUUAUUUAUUUUGAGAGAGUGAGCAAGCGGGAAGAGGGGCAGGGAGAGGGGGAGAGAGAAAAUCCCAAGCAGACCCCGGGCUGUCAGUGCAGAGCCCAAUGCUGGGCUCGAACUCAUAAACAGUGAGAUCAUGACCUGAGUUGAAACCAAGAGUUAAAUGCUCAACUGACUGAGCCACCCAGGAGCCAUAAGAGAAAUUAAAAAAAAAUUUUUUUUAAUGUUUAUUCAUUUUGGAGAGACAGAGAGUGUGAGUGGGGAGGGGCAGAGAGAGAGAGGGAAACACAGAAUCUGAAGCUGGCUCCAGGCUCUGAGCUGUCAUCACAGAGCCCGACGCAGGGCUUGAACUCAUGGCAGCAUCAUGAGAUCAUGACCUGAGCCAAAGUCAGACGCUUAACUGACUAAUCCACCCAGGUACCCCACUAAUAAAUUUUUUAUUGAGAUAAUUGUAAAUUCACUUGAAGUUGUAAGAAAUAAUAAGGUUCACUUGUACCCUUUACAGGGUUUCCUUUAAUGGUAACAUUACAAAAUUAUAGUAUAAUAUCACACAGUACAUGCUGAUGUUGAUACAACCGUCUGAUCUUAUUUAGGUUUCCCCAGUUUUACUUUCAUUCAUUUGUGCAUGUGUUUGUACAUGGAUGUGUAUGUGGGAGGAGUGGUUUGAGGGAUGGGGCUGAUCAAGGGGAGGAUAUGACCAUGUGGGGCAGUAACACACCACAGGCUCAAUGAGGUCGUGUUGAGACAGGGUUGCAUGUGGGGGAACCCUUCCUAGCAGAAAUCUGUGCAGAGACUAUGAGGUCCAGAGAGGGGUGUCACUACCCAGAAGGAGAGGAGGGCAGGACACCUUCUGGGAGAGAAGCAGGUGGGGCAGAGGGCUCAUGUGUCCAGGUGGUGUCACUUAGCCACACCCCAGGCAUGUCCGGGUCACAGAGUUGGGAAGUGCAGCAGGGGCAUCGGGCUUUAUGUUAUAAUUUUUUAAAUGUUUA